AAUGGAGGAAAACACUUCCCUCCACUUGUCAAAAGCAGAAAGUGCUACUUCCGUUAAGAAACCGAAAAAAGAAGAGUGCAAGGACCUGGCUCUCUGCAGCAUGAUCCUGACUGAAAUGGAAACGCAUGAGGACGCCUGGCCCUUUCUGCUUCCGGUCAACCUGAAGCUCGUACCCGGCUACAGGAAGGUUAUUAAGAAGCCUAUGGAUUUUUCUACAAUUAGAGAAAAACUAAAUAAUGGACAGUAAGUAAUCCACUUCUGUUCAGUCAGUAUCGACGAUGGAGGUUAGCAGAUGACAUAACCUGAGGCAUGUAGAGACCGGAAGCUCUUCUCCAUUAACACUUGGAUGAAGGUAACAGGAUGCCUAAGGGAUAGGAUUGGCCAGAGGAGUUAGGGAAGUAGAGGGAUCUGUAGAGGCCUCCAGCAGAACGGUAAGAACUCAGGUAGUAAAUGAGAUGUGGGAAACACAGGGCAGUUGAAAAACAUUUUGUUGCUGUUGUCUUACUCUGUAGCCCAUGCUGGCCUCAGACUCGUUGACCUUUCCCCUUCUCCACCAACCAAAUGCUGGGAUCACAACUAUGUGGCUCCAUGCCUGUCCUGGAAAAUACCUAGUUUUAUGACCAAGAGAGCACUUGGUUUGUUAUGCUGACCAUCUUUAAUGCAGCGUGGCCCAGAGCGUAAUGAAUGUCGUCAGGUGUGGUUUGGUGGGCGGCGCUCUGUGGGAGGAGUCAAGCGCAGCAACCAGCUAGCGU
rnacentral:lncRNA from 1 species